rnacentral:tRNA from 1 species
GGUGAGAUGGCAGAGUGGUCGAAUGCGGUUGACUCGAAAUCAAUUGUACGUUUUGUAGCGUACCUGGGGUUCGAAUCCCUAUCUCACCGCCA